rnacentral:tRNA from 1 species
GCUUGGCUGGCUAAGUCAGUAGAGCAUGUGACUCUUGAUCUUGGGAUUGUGGGUUCAAGUCCCAUGUUGGGCA